rnacentral:rRNA from 1 species
UACGUAGGGGGCAAGCGUUGUCCGGAUUUAUUGGGCGUAAAGAGCGUGUAGGCGGCCAGGCAGGUCCGCUGUGAAAACUCGAGGCUCAACCUCGAGAGGUCGGUGGAAACCGUUUGGCUAGAGUCCGGAAGAGGAGAGUGGAAUUCCUGGUGUAGCGGUGAAAUGCGCAGAUAUCAGGAAGAACACCCGUGGCGAAAGCGGCUCUCUGGGACGGUACUGACGCUGAGACGCGAAAGCGUGGGGAGCGAACAGG